rnacentral:rRNA from 1 species
GACGAACGCUGGCGGCGUGCUUAACACAUGCAAGUCGAACGGAAAGGCCCUGCUUUUGUGGGGUGCUCGAGUGGCGAACGGGUGAGUAACACGUGAGUAACCUGCCCUUGACUUUGGGAUAACUUCAGGCAACUGGGGCUAAUACCGGAUAGGAGCUCCUGCUGCAUGGUGGGGGUUGGAAAGUUUCGGCGGUUGGGGAUGGACUCGCGGCUUAUCAGCUUGUUGGUGGGGUAGUGGCUUACCAAGGCUUUGACGGGUAGCCGGCCUGAGAGGGUGACCGGCCACAUUGGGACUGAGAUACGGCCCAGACUCCUACGGGAGGCAGCAGUGGGGAAUAUUGUACAAUGGGCGGAAGCCUGAUGCAGCAACGCCGCGUGCGGGAUGACGGCCUUCGGGUUGUAAACCGCUUUCGCCAGUGACGAAGCGUGAGUGACGGUAAUGGGUAAAGAAGCACCGGCUAACUACGUG